rnacentral:rRNA from 1 species
UACGAAGGGGGCUAGCGUUGCUCGGAAUCACUGGGCGUAAAGGGCGCGUAGGCGGCGUUUUAAGUCGGGGGUGAAAGCCUGUGGCUCAACCACAGAAUGGCCUUCGAUACUGGGACGCUUGAGUAUGGUAGAGGUUGGUGGAACUGCGAGUGUAGAGGUGAAAAUUCGUAGAUAUUCGCAAGAACACCGGUGGCGAAGGCGGCCAACUGGACCAUUACUGACGCUAGGCGCGAAAGCGUGG